rnacentral:lncRNA from 1 species
UCUUGUUGCUGUGACAUCCCAAAUGAGGGAUAGGUGAGGGGCAGGUAAAGGAUGCUGCCUAUGCAGCUGGCUUGUGCAGCAAAUGGAGAGUGUUGCCAUUCCCUGAGGUAAGACACCUAAACUUAGUAUAAUUGGAGACGAAAAUGACAUGGCAAGUUUUGUAUAUGUUAGAUUUUGAAGUGAAAUUAGCAAAGAUAAAUAUUCAGUAGGUA